rnacentral:tRNA from 1 species
GGGACAUUAGCUCAGUUGGUUUAGAGCAUUGCUUUCACAGAGCAGGGGUCAUUGGUUCGAAUCCAAUAUGUCCCA